rnacentral:sRNA from 1 species
GCAUGUGAUAGCCAGACGCUGUUCCCGGCUUCCACCACGGCUUCUGGGCUGCCAAUCUCUCGGUAGAAAGCUUCAGAUCGUACAAUUCCUCCAGGUUGAUAUUCGGUUCCCAGCCAGACACACCGGAGGUGUGCGCGAGCAGUUGCCGGACUUCGAUGUCCUGUUUCCCAUUCGCGGCAAACUCGGGCCAGUAGGUGGCUACUUUUUCAAAAAGGUCGAGCUGGCCGCGGUCAACAAGCAUCAGGGCCGCAAGGUUCGUGACGGUCUUCGUUGUCGACCAGACAGUUGUGACGGUGUCGCGGGUCCAGGGAGAUGUGCGGGCGGUGUCGCGAUAGCCGCCCCAUAUAUCUACGACGUUGCGCCCGUCGAUGUUGACUGUGAUGGAUGCACCCAGCUCUUCGCCUGCGUCUAUGAAUUUCUGCAACAGAUCCUUGACGGGUGCGAAGGCUGCGUCGUAAUCACCUUGGACUGUGCCAGCCAUUGUUUCAGUUGAUAUGAGAUGAUGUGCGAAUUUGGACGGAGGGCAAUGGCUCAAAAUUCAGAGAUAAAAUGAAGAAACCGCGAGUAGGUGUUAGGUCAUAGUAGAGAGGAGAUCGUUUUGUCUUCUAAUCGGAAUUGUGCUGUGCUCUAAUAUUUAUUUUUCCCCAUGGAGCAGGAGCUGCAACCUGCUCAUUGUUUAUAUUCACGGCCCCGCAACACAACGUGACUCCAGCAACCACGGGCUGAACACCAGCGCCCUCCAUUUCCGCGGGCGUACAGUUGAACGUGUAUCUGUAGAACUGAACAUGGUUUAUAAAAGAGUUCUGCUCUAAACCAUGCCAUUGCUUAUUUACUAUUGUGGCGGACGUAAAGCUUGCGAAAACAGAAUUUUCUGCCACCCCCUGAAAAGUAGUAGCAAAACACUGCAAAAAUAGCCAAAAUAUCCACAUUUCUCUAG